GAUGAACGCUGGCGGCGUGCCUAAUACAUGCAAGUCGAGCGAACGGACGAGAAGCUUGCUUCUCUGAUGUUAGCGGCGGACGGGUGAGUAACACGUGGAUAACCUACCUAUAAGACUGGGAUAACUUCGGGAAACCGGAGCUAAUACCGGAUAAUAUUUUGAACCGCAUGGUUCAAAAGUGAAAGACGGUCUUGCUGUCACUUAUAGAUGGAUCCGCGCUGCAUUAGCUAGUUGGUAAGGUAACGGCUUACCAAGGCAACGAUGCGUAGCCGACCUGAGAGGGUGAUCGGCCACACUGGAACUGAGACACGGUCCAGACUCCUACGGGAGGCAGCAGUAGGGAAUAUUCCGCAAUGGGCGAAAGCCUGACGGAGCAACGCCGCGUGAGUGAUGAAGGUCUUCGGAUCGUAAAACUCUGUUAUUAGGGAAGAACAUAUGUGUAAGUAACUGUGGACAUCUUGACGGUACCUAAUCAGAAAGCCACGGCUAACUACGUG
rnacentral:rRNA from 1 species